rnacentral:rRNA from 1 species
CCUACGGGAGGCAGCAGUGAGGAAUAUUGGUCAAUGGACGGAAGUCUGAACCAGCCAUGCCGCGUGCAGGAAGACGGCUCUAUGAGUUGUAAACUGCUUUUGUACAAGGGUAAACCUGAAUACGUGUAUUCAGCUGAAAGUACUGUACGAAUAAGGAUCGGCUAACUCCGUGCCAGCAGCCGCGGUAAUACGGAGGAUCCAAGCGUUAUCCGGAUUGAUUGGGUUUAAAGGGUGCGUAGGCGGAUUGAUAAGUUAGAGGUGAACUGUCCGAGCUUAACUCGGGAACUGCCUCUAAUACUGUUGAUCUAGAGAGUAGAUGCGGUAGGCGGAAUGUAUGGUGUAGCGGUGAAAUGCUUAGAGAUCAUACAGAACACCGAUUGCGAAGGCAGCUUACCAAUCUAUAUCUGACGUUGAGGCACGAAAGCGUGGGGAGCAAACAGGAUUAGAUACCCUUGUAGUC